rnacentral:tRNA from 9 species
UGCGGGAGUGGCGAAAUUGGUAGACGCACUAGAUUUAGGUUCUAGCGCCGCAAGGUGUGCGAGUUCAAGUCUCGCCUCCCGCACCAU